GACGAACGCUGGCGGCGUGCCUAAUACAUGCAAGUCGAACGCAGUGGGGACGGGUGAGUAACACGUGGGUAACCUCCCAUCAGAGGGGAAAACAAUUGGAAACAGGUGCUAAACCGCUACUGCUGGAUGGACCCGCGGUGCAUUACCUAGUUGGUGAGGUAACGGCUAACCAAGGCAACGAUGCAUCGCCGACCUGGGAGGAUGCUCAGCCGCACUGGGACUGAGACAGGGCCCAGACGCCAACGGGAGGCAGCAGUAGGGAAUCUGCGAGAAUGGACGAAAGUCUAACCGAGCAACGCCGCGUGAGUGAAGAAGGUUUUCGGAUCGUGUAACUCUGUGGUUAAAGAAGCGGUAUCUGACCGGAAAGCCACGGCUAGCUACGUGCCAGCAGCCGCGGUAAUUC
rnacentral:rRNA from 1 species